CUACCACAAACUAAACUGUGGUGAAUCUUGAUUAACAGAAAGUUGCUUCCUCAAAGUCCCUACAUUUAACCAUCGAUUUGUGAUUUCAAGAUUGAUUUCUUGCAGUAAUCCUUGUGCCUUAACUAUGCAAAUGAAGGAUUGGGGUCAGUGCUGCCAUAACCAGUACAUACACCUCAGUGUCUCUGUGUUGGGAGGAUAGGAUGCCCUAAAUGAAUUCCACAAACACAGGUUUUAUGGACUCCAACCCCACUCUAGAACAAAGAGAUCCAAGACACCAAGAACUGCAAAUCCCAUAAUGUCAUCAUCACAGAAGGGAGGAUUGCUGGGAACUGAGGGAGGAGUUAAGCAGCCAAGUCUGGUAUAUAACCAGAGACAGCUGGGCCUGGAGGUCUCUCUUGGCUUUUCGCCGGCUCUCAACGUGCUGUUGGGAUUCCAGAUCAGCGGAACUGAUCUUUGUGUCCGGAAGGGGCCUGAAUAGUGAGAAAGUUAA